AAAUAUUACAUUGUAGACAUAGAUUUUAAAAUUAAAACAUAAAAACAAAGAUUAGUUUAACAAACGAGAAUAUUUGAAAGAAGCGUCCGAGCUCAGUUGUUGUCUUCAUCACUGCCAAAUUUAAACUAUACAUGUUCAACUAAAUCAUCUUUCAGUUGUUGAUGCAUCUGUCUAUCAUGAAUUCUAGUUCGAACACCCAUCAUAUUGGAGAUAUUUGUAGGCAUAUCUGUGGAGAAAUCGAGAUCGACAUGUGAACUUCCGUUGUCUUCUGCUUGCUGGAACUCCGAAGGAUCAAACUGAGUGUAUCCAUCUCGUUCGUCUUCUACUAUCAUAGUAUGGAGUAUGAUACAUGCUCGCAUAAUCUUCCCUAUUUUGACUUUAUCCCCAAAAAGUGCCGGAUUUUUAACAAUGGCAAAGCGAGCUUGCAAGACUCCAAAAGCACGCUCGACAUCCUUUCGGACAGCUUCUUGACGUUGAGCAAAUAAAACUGCAUGCGGCCCUUGUGGUGGUUGAAUAGAUUGGAUAAAAGUUGCCUAUUUCGGAUAAAUACCAUCGGUGAGAUAGUAAGUCAAAUGAUACUCUCUUCCAUUGACAUAGUAAGUGACUUCCGGAGUAUGACCCUUUAUUAUGUCAUCAAAAACAGGUGAGCGAUCAAGAACAUUGAUAUCGUUUAAGGUACCUGGCAGUCCAAAAAACAAGUGUCAUAUCCAGAGAUCGUAUGAAGCAACUGCCUCUAAAACGAUUGUUGGUUUACCCGAACCACGAGAAUAUUACCCUUUCCAAGCGGUGGGACAAUUCUUCCACUCCCAAUGCAUACAAUCGAUGCUUCCUAUCAUUCCGGGAAAUCCACGAUACUCUCCAACAUCAAGUAGACGUUGAAGAUCAGCUGGUGUUGGUCUUCUUAGGUACUCAUCGCCAAACAAAUAUAUAAUUCCUUCCACGAAAUUUUCCACGCAUAACCGAGUUGUUGUUUCACCGAGCCAGAGGUAUUCGUCGACCGCAUCAGCCGCAGAACCAUAUGGCAACACACUAAUGGCUGCAGUACACUUUUGAAGGAGAGAGAGACUAAUCCUUCCGAAACCAUCUUGCUUUUCCUUAAAGUAUUGAACUUUGUUGGAAAGACGAUCAACAAUGCGCAUAAACAAUGGCUUGUUCAUUCUAAAACGUCGACGGAAGAAAUUUUCAGGAUACGUUGGAGUAUCACUGAGAUAAUCAUUCCAUAAACGGAUGUGGCAUUCCUCACGAUUUCUUUCGAUAUACGCUCGUUUUCUUUUCUUUCUUCGUUCUUCUUGAUCACUAUGAAUGGUUAAAUUCUUAAAGGCUUGAUCAAAAUGUUGAUCAAAGAGCUCAUCAAAUGCAUCAUCAAAAGAUUCAUCUAAAGAUUCUUGUGGAGGAACACAUUUCGUUGCUUUGACAACAGAUGGCAGAAUUUUUAGGUUAGUCCUUUGAAACCCAAGAAACUCAUUUUUAGAUUUACUUCAAAAGAAAAGAGCCAUUUCUAAUGAUUAUGAUUUUGAUCAGUUUGGUAGAGAAGAUCAUGGAAGACUUGGUUAUGGAAGGACAAACGUUUACCAUUUUAGUGUGUCUAAAUCAGCUUUGUGAUUAUGUAUGUCUGAUUAAUGUGUUUUUUUCCUCCUAGAUUUCAUGACGUGCUCAAGAAAAGGUGAUUCGCAUUCUUCAUCUCCCAAAAGUGGAGGAAAAAUGGGUAACUCAUCAUUUUAAAUUUAGUAUCAAAGGAGGCUAAUGUUAUUGCUAUGAACCUUAACAAGAAAAGUGAAGCACUUUCUGUCUUGGGUUAGUGGAAUACGAGAAUAAGGUAAACUUCUUUGCGGCAGUUUACAUUGUAAAGCAAAUGUUUGCCGUACCUUACUCCAAAGCUCAGGUUUCUACUCUUUUCUUGAACAUAAACUAUAGAUAACUGCAUCAAUAUAGUGAAUCUUCCUUGCUUACAAUAAACAUAACUUUCCUUCCAGUGUGAAUUUUUUUUCCUAUGUAUGAAACAUAACUUAUUAUUUCCGAGUAGUUGAAGUUUUUUUUCAAUUUUGCUUUCCUAGCUUUCAUGUGACCUUUGCAGGAAGUGCACGUCUUCUGCAAUUCAUGUGAGCAUGUUUGUCACGCAUAUAGAAAGAGACGUUGGGGUGUUACGAAUCCAAGCGAGAUGCUGAUACAGGUUUCUCGCCUUAAUGGAUUAAACGUUGGGGUGUUAUAAUUAUGUACACCAAUCAAUUUUAAAAAUAUAUACAGAUUGUCUUCAUAUUUAUAAUGCAGUACUGUUAAAUAUCUUAUGUAAUUCCAAUUUAUCUUAACACCCCUAGCUGAUCACUGAGCUAACGGUUACCAUCCUCACAUGAUUGCUCAUGAUCAAGGUAACCUUCAUCUCAUUGAGUCUUCUAUUGUAUCCAUCGGAGGCAUCUGUUAACAAAAAUAUGCAAUAACCAUCUCCCCUUUUCUGAGUGUGGUUCUAAUAUUUCCAUGGUCAUGCAAUCUUCUUGAAGGAUGGACAAGUCUGUGAUUGAUACGGUGACAUAUUGAACAUGUGCAUGAAUUAGAUCACUAUCUAAGUCUGAGAGUGGAGGUGACAGACGCGGCAAUGGAGUCAUUGGAAAAAAUGCGAGAGGGAAGUAAGAAAGUAACACUGCAGCUGGGGGACAUAUUACAAUACUGUUGAUUUCUUCAUGAAGCUUCUCCAGCUCUGAGAAUGCCUGGUGGACCACCAGUGGUGGUACCGGCACCGAAAAGAUCUUUAGGUUGUGUAAUUUUACGAGGUGAUCUACCUUGGAAGACAUCAUACCGGAUAGUUUUAUUAAACAUCACAGUUUUAUCUGCUGCCUCUUUGUUUGUGUUUUUUUUGGCUUUUACCUUAUAUGCAUGAGCUCUUUACAUAUGACUAUAUUUGUUUAGUUA